AAUCCAGAGAUGGAUUUGUGCCUUCGGGAACUGUGAGACAGGUGCUGCAUGGCUGUCGUCAGCUCGUGUUGUGAAAUGUUGGGUUAAGUCCCGCAACGAGCGCAACCCUUAUCCUUUGUUGCCAGCGAUUAGGUCGGGAACUCAAAGGAGACUGCCAGUGAUAAACUGGAGGAAGGUGGGGAUGACGUCAAGUCAUCAUGGCCCUUACGACCAGGGCUACACACGUGCUACAAUGGCGCAUACAAAGAGAAGCGACCUCGCGAGAGCAAGCGGACCUCAUAAAGUGCGUCGUAGUCCGGAUUGGAGUCUGCAACUCGACUCCAUGAAGUCGGAAUCGCUAGUAAUCGUGGAUCAGAAUGCCACGGUGAAUACGUUCCCGGGCCUUGUACACACCGCCCGUCACACCAUGGGAGUGGGUUGCAAAAGAAGUAGGUAGCUUAACCUUCGGGAGGGCGCUUACCACUUUGUGAUUCAUGACUGGGGUGAAGUCGUAACAAGGUAACCGUAGGGGAACCUGCGGUUGGA
rnacentral:rRNA from 12 species